AACGAACGCUGGCGGCAGGCUUAACACAUGCAAGUCGAACGCCCCGCAAGGGGAGUGGCAGACGGGUGAGUAACGCGUGGGAAUCUACCCAGAUCUUCGGAACAACUGAGGGAAACUUCAGCUAAUACCGGAUACGCCCUACGGGGGAAAGAUUUAUCGGUUCUGGGUGAGCCCGCGUUGGAUUAGCUAGUUGGUGAGGUAACGGCUCACCAAGGCGACGAUCCAUAGCUGGUCUGAGAGGAUGAUCAGCCACACUGGGACUGAGACACGGCCCAGACUCCUACGGGAGGCAGCAGUGGGGAAUAUUGGACAAUGGGCGAAAGCCUGAUCCAGCCAUGCCGCGUGAGUGAUGAAGGCCUUAGGGUUGUAAAGCUCUUUCAGUAGGGAAGACAAUGACGGUACCUACAGAAGAAGCCCCGGCUAACUUCGUGCCAGCCGCCGCCGUAA
rnacentral:rRNA from 1 species